UGGGGAAUUUUGCGCAAUGGGGGAAACCCUGACGCAGCGACGCCGCGUGCGGGAAGAAGGCCUUCGGGUUGUAAACCGCUUUCAGUAGGGAAGAAGCAAUGAGGGUUAAUAGCCUUCUGCGUUGACGGUACCUACAGAAGAAGCUCCGGCUAAAUUCGUGCCAGCAGCCGCGGUAAUACGAAUGGGGCAAGCGUUGUUCGGAUUUACUGGGCGUAAAGCGGGCGUAGGCGGCCGGCUAAGUCGGAUGUGAAAUCCCGGGGCUCAACUCCGGAACUGCAUUCGAUACUGGUCGGCUAGAGUUCGAGAGGGGGAUGCGGAAUUCCGCGUGUAGCAGUGAAAUGCGUAGAUAUGCGGAGGAACACCUGAGGCGAAGGCGGCAUCCUGGAUCGACACUGACGCUGAGGCCCGAAAGCGUGGGGAGCAAACA
rnacentral:rRNA from 1 species